GGGGCAAUAGCUCAGUGGUAGAGCUCCCGCCUCGCACACGGGAAGAUCUGAGUUGGAUUCCCGGCUGCUUUC
rnacentral:tRNA from 1 species